CAUCUACUCCCUCCGUUCGGAAUUACUUGUCACAAAAAGGAUGUAUCUGUAACUAAAAUACAUCUAGAUACAUUCAUUUUUGGACGAGUAAUUCCGAACGGAGGGAGUAAUUG
rfam:Triticum aestivum genome assembly, contig: Triticum_aestivum_CS42_TGACv1_scaffold_179333_2DS